rnacentral:rRNA from 1 species
GACGAACGCUGGCGGCGUGCCUAAUACAUGCAAGUGGAACGCUGAAGCGAGGAGCUUGCUCUUCUUGGAUGAGUUGCGAACGGGUGAGUAACGCGUAGGUAACCUGCCUUGUAGCGGGGGAUAACUAUUGGAAACGAUAGCUAAUACCGCAUAACAAUGGAUGACACAUGUCAUUUAUUUGAAAGGGGCAAUUGCUCCACUACAAGAUGGACCUGCGUUGUAUUAGCUAGUAGGUGAGGUAAUGGCUCACCUAGGCGACGAUACAUAGCCGACCUGAGAGGGUGAUCGGCCACACUGGGACUGAGACACGGCCCAGACUCCUACGGGAGGCAGCAGUAGGGAAUCUUCGGCAAUGGGGGCAACCCUGACCGAGCAACGCCGCGUGAGUGAAGAAGGUUUUCGGAUCGUAAAGCUCUGUUGUAAGUCAAGAACGGGUGUGAGAGUGGAAAGUUCACACUGUGACGGUAGCUUACCAGAAAGGGACGGCUAACUACGUG